GUGAUCAGCAGAGCGCCUGCACCAAUCAGGGAUCGUCGCCCCGCCUGCCAUUGGCCCAGGAGGAUCUUUCGAAGGCCAGCGGGCUGGAGCGGUGGGUCCCCGGCUCCCCCGCCCUCCCGCGUGGAGUCCAGCCCUGCGGCGAGGCCCGCUACGUGUCCGACCUCCUCCCUCCCCCAGAUGCAGCCCUAGGGCCCGGAGGAGAUCCCAGAGGGGCAGACCUGGGGCGGCGACUGGGCUCGGCCGAGCUCAGGGGCGCGUGCGCGCACGCCAGGCGCUUCGGGGGUUUGCACCUGAUGCCGGCACAAAGAGGGUUCAGCCGCCGCCCACGCCAGCAGGCUCUUAAGCUGGCGAGCAGGCCAGGACACCGAGUUGGUGAGGUCCACUCCAGGACUGGCUUGGCUAGGUAACGCCCUUCCCUGGCCCGCUGGAAUCGAGACUCCGGUAUCUCACAUUGUCUGAGCGAUCCACAUUGUGUGGCACCUCCCCGGCAGCCUCUCUAGGGAAAGGAGCCGGUCUGGAUCUGUUUGCAGGCUUUGAACCUUUUAAUCAGACAGUCUUGGGAGGAGAAAUUGGGGAAUCUCUGUUCUGUUCCUUGUGCUAGGAGCCAAUGCCAGGAAGGAGGUGAAAUUCCAAGUCGCGGCGCUUUCCCAGGAUUCAAGCUCACAGCCUUGUUGGGAAACACGGAAACAAUACAGGACCAUAUAUAAUUGAUGUGAAGUGGUGGUGUUCAGGGGAAGUCUAAGCCUGCAGUCCUGCAGGUCCCCAGAUGCUGUUUAACAUCAGUGCCCUAACAGGGCUGGCCCAGAUUCCUGGGGAAGUGGGCCUGGCUGGAUGAGGAAACCAGUAGAAAAUAAGGAUGAACAGAGGGAGGUGCAGAAGAUUUGGGAGUCAGCAAGUGGCCCAGUCACUCCCGGAGACCACAGAGAGUUCAUACUGCCUAGCUCCUAAUGACUUUAGUGAAAGGAACCAACCUGAUGCAGGGGUGACUUGGGCAGACAUGGGGAGGGGGGACCAGGCAGGAUCCCUUCCAUGUCACUCCAAUAGUCCCAGACCUAUAGGACCUCCAUGGCCUCAUCAUUCCAUACUGGUAUCAGUCCUGAGCCCUGUCAUUCACUCCACAAACCCCAGACCUGAAGAGGGCGAGACCUCUGCCUUAGAGCUUCCCCACAAGAUAAGAGAGAAUGAAGCAAGUCAUCCAGGGGGUACAGUGACUUUUAGGCCUGUUAAAGUUUUAUUGAAAUGGAACCAAGAAGAGGAUUUUUUCAAAAGAGUAUUAGCACAAUACAGAGAUCACUUCAAUGAAAAAGUUUUAAAGGGCUGUGGAGCUCAGGAGAGGGAACGAUAUCUGAAAGGAAGACCCGGGGAGGUCUCCCAGGUGAGCCUUGGAAAGUUGGGGAAAGCUGGGGUUCCUAGGAGCAGGUGCCAGCUGGGCACGAGACAGAGUGCGGGGGGAAAAAGGCAGGAACGAAUGAAUGAACAGGACGGCUGCAGCAAGGCCAGCUCCCGGCAGGUUUCAGGUUGGGGGAGCCUCUUGGGCCUCCAUAAGGACAGGAUGAAGGACUUCGUGGUGGAGCCAGUGCAGAGCUUUGAAAAUUCACCCAGCACGAGUGUGCCCCGAUCGGAUCUGUGAUGUGGAAAGAGACCCUCUGAGGCAGGUUGGGGCUGGGAUGAGAAGUGGGGAGAAGCCAGGGAUGCAGCAAAUUUAGCUUAGGAUUGAGGAAGGGAGGCCUGGACUAAGGGGACUUCAUGAGACCAAUCUCCCACUAGAAGCACCUGGCACCCUCUGCCCUCUUCCUGUUCCUCUCUUAUUGAAUACUCUGCCUGCUUGGAUGAGCUGGUGAGAGUGUUUGCUCAGCCAACCCACCCAGAGUCACUUAGGAAAAGGGGUGAUCUCAGAGAGGGAGGAAUUCCUGUGGCUUCCUCCUGUCCCACAGAAUCGGCCCUCUGCUCCCCCAGGAGCACCAAAGACUGCAGCCUCCCAGGGGUGCUGCCAGGAUGUCAUCAUGAUCUUUCAUCUUUAUCAGUGACAAAGGUACCAGCUUGCAGGCAUGGAGCCCAGGUCCCCUCAGCCAGCCAAGAGGGUGAACAGAUCAGGCAGAGUGCGUAGCAGGGGAGAGAGGGCCUCCAGGAAUGGAGCCCACACCCACAAUCCCCGCUAAAUGGGGGGAUUGCCCUCACAAGGAGGCACUGAUGGGAGCCUGUUAGGGUCAUGAAAGAGAGAGUGAAAAUGAAUGACCCUCCAGCCAUCUUGCAGCUGCGGCUCAUCCAGAGGGAACACUGGAGACAAAGGGCACCUUGGAGGCAAACCAUCAGCAGAACAUUCAUUCUGGCCUCUUCUGUCUCUUCCUUUCUUUGGGUGAUAAAUAUGGCCACAUUGCUUCCAACCUUUAAGAUAUCUUCCUGUUGCAUCUUUCCAAAGCCCUCAAGGUCCACCCACUAUCACAUUUCAUGAAUGCGGACUCUGUGCUCUCUGGGUUUACCUUCUGUCUUCCAUUCAUUUCUCAGUUCAUUACAAUUUCUCCUAUUUUUUUUUUUUCCAGUGCUGGAGAUGGAUCCCAGGGCCUUGCACGUGUUAGGCAAGUCCUCUACCACUGAGCCACACCCCGGCCCCACUCUACUCCAGUUCUCCUAGUGUGUCAGUCAGCUUUCUGUUAUGAUAACAAACACCUGAGACGAUCAACUUAUUUUUUAAAUAGGUUUAUUUUUGCUCACCGUUUCAGAGGCUUCAACUCUCUGGGCCUGUGAUGGCACAUCAUGUGGAAACGUGUGGCAGGCAAAACCUUCUACCUCAUGGCUUAGAAUGGAAAGAAAGAAAGGAGAGGGGCUGGGGUCUCGCUGUCCCCCUUGGGGGCAUGCCCCUAGGGACCUCUUUCUAGGUCCCACCUCUUCAGGGUUCCAUUGCCUCUCAAAAGCACAUGCUGAGAGCCAUGGCAUUUUUGGUUGAAAGCCAUUGAGAUGAUAUGAUUAUGUUAAGAUCUGCAUUCAAAUGGAUAUUAGACCCCUGCUGUCCGCCUCCACCUGCUACUUUGGAGCUCUAGCGGGACUCCCGGGACUCCCGGAGAGUUCCCAUUGGUUGGGGAAGUGCGGUAGGAGGGAUUGCCGGAGGAGGGAUUUGUCUGUUGGUGUAGUGUGGCCCAGGAGAACCGCCGUGUGUGUGGUUCGGCAUAUUUCCCUGGAGAGUGCGUGGCAUUGAUGGGAGUUUCAGAAAUAAAGUUUGUUCC
rnacentral:lncRNA from 1 species